rfam:Neorickettsia sennetsu strain Miyayama, complete genome.
GCCCUUGUGGCGGAAUGGUAGACGCGGCAGACUCAAAAUCUGCUAUCCUCGCGGAUGUGCUGGUUCAAAUCCAGUCAAGGGUA